rnacentral:rRNA from 1 species
AUUGAACGCUGGCGGCGUGCUUAACACAUGCAAGUCGAUCGGUAACAGGUGUAGCAAUACAUGCUGACGGGAGGCGGACGGGUGAGUAAUGCUUGGGAAUCUGCCUAUUAGUGGGGGACAACCCGGGGAAACUCGGGCUAAUACCGCAUACGCUCUACGGAGGAAAGCCGGGGACCGCAAGGCCUGGCGCUAAUAGAUGAGCCCAAGUCGGAUUAGCUAGUUGGUAGGGUAACGGCCACCAAGGCGACAAUCCGUAGCUGGUCUGAGAGGACGACCAGCCACACCGGAACUGAGACACGGUCCGGACUCCUACGGGAGGCAGCAGUGGGGAAUAUUGGACAAUGGGGGCGAACCCUGAUCCAGCGACGCCGCGUGGGUGAAGAAGGCCUGCGGGUUGUAAAGCCCUUUCGGUGGGGAAGAAAAGUCUCGACCUAAUACGUCGGGACCUUGACGUAACCCACUAAAGAAGCACCGGCUAACUCUGUGCCAGCCGCCGCUGUAAC